AGAAUCAACGCUGGCGGCGUGCCUAACACAUGCAAGUCGAACGCGAAAGCCCCGAAAGGGGCAAGUAGAGUGGCAAACGGGUGAGUAACACGUGGGUGACCUGCCUUCGAGCGGGGGAUAACGUCCCGAAAGGGACGCUAAUACCGCAUAACAUCCUGCCUUUGAAGAGGUGGAGAUCAAAGGCUGGGGAUCGCAAGACCCGGCACUUGAAGAGGGGCCCGCGUCUGAUUAGCUAGUUGGUGGGUAACGGCCUACCAAGGCAACGAUCA
rnacentral:rRNA from 1 species